rnacentral:rRNA from 1 species
GUGAACGCUGGCGGUAGACCUAACACAUGCAAGUCGAACGGCAGCACAGUAAGAGCUUGCUCUUCCGGGUGGCGAGUGGCGGACGGGUGAGGAAUACAUCGGAAUCUACUUUUUCGUGGGGGAUAACGUAGGGAAACUUACGCUAAUACCGCAUACGACCUACGGGUGAAAGCAGGGGAUCUUCGGACCUUGCGCGAUUGAAUGAGCCGAUGUCGGAUUAGCUAGUUGGCGGGGUAAAGGCCCACCAAGGCGACGAUCCGUAGCUGGUCUGAGAGGAUGAUCAGCCACACUGGAACUGAGACACGGUCCAGACUCCUACGGGAGGCAGCAGUGGGGAAUAUUGGACAAUGGGCGCAAGCCUGAUCCAGCCAUACCGCGUGGGUGAAGAAGGCCUUCGGGUUGUAAAGCCCUUUUGUUGGGAAAGAAAAGCAGCAGGUUAAUACCCCGCUGUUCUGACGGUACCCAAAGAAUAAGCACCGGCUAACUUCGUG